AGUUAGUGGCGGACGGGUGAGUGACGCGUGGGUAACCUGCCUCAUACAGGGGGAUAGCAGCUGGAAACGGCUGAUAAAACCGCAUAAGCGCACAGCAUCGCAUGAUGCAGUGUGAAAAGCUCCGGUGGUAUGAGAUGGACCCGCGUCUGAUUAGCUGGUUGGUGAGGUAACGGCCCACCAAGGCGACGAUCAGUAGCCGGCCUGAGAGGGUGACCGGCCACAUUGGGACUGAGACACGGCCCAAACUCCUACGGGAGGCAGCAGUGGGGAAUAUUGCACAAUGGGGGAAACCCUGAUGCAGCGACGCCGCGUGAAGGAAGAAGUAUCUCGGUAUGUAAACUUCUAUCAGCAGGGAAGAUAAUGACGGUACCUGACUAAGAAGCCCCGGCUAACUACGUGCCAGCAGCCGCGGUAAUACGUAGGGGGCAAGCGUUAUCCGGAUUUACUGGGUGUAAAGGGAGCGUAGGCGGCGGAGCAAGUCAGAAGUGAAAGCCCGGGGCUCAACCCCGGGACGGCUUUUGAAACUGGCCCUGCUUGAUUUCAGGAGAGGUAAGCGGAAUUCCUAGUGUAGCGGUGAAAUGCGUAGAUAUUAGGAGGACACCAGUGGCGAAGGCGGCUUACUGGACUGACA
rnacentral:rRNA from 1 species